rnacentral:rRNA from 1 species
CCGUACAGGCAUCGACCGGGUCCGGCGGACAAAUCCUUGUUGCUAGUCGAAGCGCAAUUUGGAAAAGCAAACCUCAUCUGACCGUGACGGCGACCGGAGUGGAGGAACCCCGUCCGAUCCACACGAGAACGCGAAGGCGUCAUAUCGGACACGCCCCGCACGAGUCAAGAGUCAAAACACCGGCUGGAAAAAGAUGCUCCGGAACCCGACGAGCGCAGGCAGGCGGCCGCAACCGCACCCACACCCGACGAGUCCGCCGCUCACGACAACGGCCGCCGGAGCAGCAGCUCAACACCAUCGUCCUCCCGCAUAUGUCACCCCCGAGCUGCCGCCCGCGAGCCACCACCACCACCGCCCCAAACCUCGUCCAUUCGCCCUCCGGUCCGCAGCGCAAGCCAUGACGCCCCUGACGCGGCGGCGGCUGCUGACCACGCUGCUCUGCCUGUGCGCGCUCGCCGCCCCGGCGCGGUCCCAGAACGCGAGCGCCACGCCGGCGCCGGCCAGCGUGGAGGGGUUCAACUGCUCCGCCAACGGCACCUACCCUUGCCAGGCCUACGCGCUGUACCGGGCGGGCUUCGCGGGGGUGCCGCUCGACCUCGCGGCGGAGGGCGACCUCUUCGGCGUCAGCCGCUUCAUGCUCGCGCACGCCAACAACCUGUCCACCUCGGCCGCGCCGGCCGCGGGGCAGCCGCUGCUCGUGCCGCUCCAGUGCGGCUGCCCCUCCGGGUCGCCCAACGCCUACGCGCCCACGCAGUACCAGAUCAGCUCCGGCGACACCUUCUGGAUCGUCUCCGUCACCAAGCUGCAGAACCUCACGCAGUACCAGGCCGUGGAGCGCGUCAACCCCACGGUGGUGCCCACCAAGCUCGAGGUCGGGGACAUGGUCACGUUCCCCAUCUUCUGCCAGUGCCCCACCGCCGCCCAAAACGCCACCGCGCUCGUCACCUACGUCAUGCAGCAGGGCGACACCUACGCCUCCAUCGCCGCCGCCUUCGCCGUCGACGCGCAGUCCCUCGUCUCCCUCAACGGGCCCGAGCGGGGCACGCAGCUCUUCUCCGAGAUACUAGUGCCGCUCCGUCGGAAGGUGCCGCAGUGGCUGCCGCCAAUCGUGACCCGCAACGACGUGUCGGCCACGCCGCCGUCCCCGCCGCCUACCGCGACGCCCGGUCCGAGCGACGUGGCCGACAACCGAGACGGGGUGGUCACCGGGCUGGCCGUCGGGUUGGGCGUGGUCGGUGGGCUGUGGCUGCUGCAGCUGCUGCUCCUGGGCUGCCUGUGGAGGCGGCUCAAGUCGAACGGGCGGCGAGGGGACGCGGUCGCGAGCGGCGACGGCGGCAGGUCUGGCAAGAGCGCGUCCGGCUCCGGCGGCGUGGGAGGGGAGAGAUUCCUAGUGAGUGACAUAUCCGAGUGGCUGGACAAGUACAGGGUGUUCAAGGUGGAGGAGCUGCAGCGCGGCACCGACGGUUUCGACGACGCGCACCUCAUCCAGGGCAGCGUGUACAAGGCCAACAUCGGCGGCGAGGUCUUCGCUGUGAAGAAGAUGAAGUGGGAUGCCUGCGAGGAGCUCAAGAUCCUGCAGAAGGUGAACCACAGCAACCUGGUGAAGCUGGAGGGGUUCUGCAUCAACACGGCGACGGGCGACUGCUUCCUGGUGUACGAGUACGUGGAGAACGGGUCCCUGGACCUGUGCCUGCUGGACCGCGCCCGCGCGCGGCGGCUGGACUGGCGCACGCGCCUCCACAUCGCGCUGGACCUCGCCCACGGCCUCCAGUACAUCCACGAGCACACCUGGCCGCGCGUGGUGCACAAGGACGUCAAGAGCAGCAACGUCCUCCUGGACGCCCGCAUGCGCGCCAAGAUCGCCAACUUCGGCCUCGCCAAGACCGGCCACAACGCGGUCACCACCCACAUCGUGGGCACGCAGGGCUACAUCGCGCCCGAGUACCUCGUCGACGGCCUCGUCACCACCAAGAUGGACGUGUUCGCCUACGGCGUCGUCCUGCUCGAGCUCGUGUCCGGCCGCGAGGCCGCCGGGGACGGCGGCGGCGGCGACCUGCUGCUGGCCGACGCGGAGGAGAAGGUGUUCCGCGGCCGGGAGGACAGGCUGGAGGCGCGCGCGGCCGCGUGGAUGGACCCCGUGCUCGCCGACCAGAACUGCCCGCCGGGGAGCGUGGCCACCGUGAUGGGCGUGGCCAGGGCGUGCCUGCAGCGGGACCCGGCCAAGCGGCCGAGCAUGGUGGACGUGGCCUACACCCUGUCCAGGGCGGACGAGUACUUCGCGGACUACUCCGGCGAGAGCGUGUCCGUGGAUGGCAGCGGCGAGAUCGCCGCGCGGUGAGUCGCUUGUUUGUAGUACUGCUCUGCUUUGUAGUUAAUCAGUGAGCACGGACGAUAUAGCUAGCUGGUGGUAAGCAUUUAGUGUAUAGGAGUAGCUAUAAUAACGCGGCAUUAUGUUACGUUGGAGCUCCGUGAGAUUAUCCUGUGGGUCAAGUAGUAUAGUACCAAAAAUCAUGAGUGAGUGGAAAAUACACGGGAUACGGUAUAUAUCAGUAUAUUUUUACGUUCAGGCCAUGUUUGGUAGCAAAGUAUUUUUUAAAUAUUUUACGAAUACUACUGUUUUUUAGAUUAUCAUAGUUUAUUUGCAAUGAGCUGUUUGGUUGCCCCUAAAAACAGUGAUUUUAAUACUUUAGUAUUGGCAAAACUGCAUUUUUUCUCUGCAUAGAAAAAAAAACCUCAGACCUCUUUUUAAAAAACUGAGCAGCUAACAAGAACGAUAUUGCAACGAUACAGUGCACUGCAUUGAGCUUGACUACAUGGUUCCAGUUCACGCGCACCUCUAUGACCCGGUGAAGUUGACACCGGCUACGCCAUGGUGCCGAGUGUCCUCUUUUGAUAACCUACAAGCCCUGAGCGCAGCCACUAUGUGCAAGCUUCCGGUCUUAUGCAUCUGCAUGGCAACGCUAGCUAGCUAGGAGAAAAACGGUGCUCUAUCGCCAUGUACAUGGCCGUUCUUGGGCUGAUCUGUUGGUGCACGCAACUGCUAGCCCCGUUGGUAAAACCGACGAGUCUGCUUAGCCAACGGCUAGCCAGUCUUUUUUACAAGGUCGCUGCACCAAACAGGUUUUCAGUAUUGAGAAUACUCUAUUGUGUUAUAUUAAAACCACGGUAUUUGAUACUUACAGGGUAAAUUACUAUAGUUUUCUGAUACUUUGGUUUUUACAAUACUUUACUGAUACUUUGGUUUUUACAAUACUUUACUAUCAAACAUAGCCUCAGUCACUUUUUAUAACAGGACGAGAAGCUUGUCUCCAUGCCCUCCGAUAGUAAUGGAAACAGGAAAUGAAGUAGCAUCACAUGAUUGCAGCAUCAAACCGUUACCACAUGCAUAAAAUAUAGGAGAAAACGCGCUUGAACAAUCAGUUUCCGAGAGCUAAUUUUACUGUUUCUCAACUUAAAUUUAGAGAGCAGCGGUUGAAGAAAGAUUAUUUUAUUGUCAAAUCUAUUGUAGAGAAGAGUGGCUUCGGUUUUGAUCCUUUGAAAAAAAUGCCAACAACCAUUGAUGAAAAAUGGGAUGAAUUGAGCACAGACCAACAGAAGUGGAGAUACAAAGCAUUCCCUUACUACGAUGAUUUGUAUGCAAUUUAUGAUGGUAAAACAGCGGAGGGGAAGGGUUGUACGAGGACAACUGUCGGAUUUCGGGUUCCGGCAAAAUCCUUGAGGUUCAAACACUGGGGUGCGCACGAAGAUCUCUCCUUCCCCUAGUACUCUCCCUCACCGCAAUCUUAAGGCUCAACGCGUCGAACUCGCAAAACAAAGGGACACAAGGUUUAUACUGGUUCGGCCCACCAAUGUGGUGUAAUAGCCUACUCCAGUGUGGUGUGGUGUGGUGUGGUGGAUUGCCUCUUGGGCUGAGGAGGAACAGUUACAAGGGAAGAACAGCCUCCUGAGGAGAGGUGCUCUUGUGCUUGGUGAGUGUGUGUGGAUGAGGAUGAUCUGAAUGGCCCCGGAUCAGUUACCUCCUACUGUGGUGGCUAGCCCUAUUUAUAGUGGCCCUGGUCCUCUUCCCAAAUGUUGGCGGGAAGGGAUGCCACAACGGCCAAAUUUCAAGGGAGACAACUAGUACUAGUUAUCCUGACUAAAGGUGG